rfam:Neotoma lepida isolate 417 scaffold_1514, whole genome shotgun sequence.
GGAGAGAUAGCUCAGUGGUUAAGAGCACUGGGUUCUCUUCCAGANGUCCUGGGUUCAAUUCCCAGCACCC